GAAACUCACCCACCCCUACACCUCACCUAUGCAUCCCUUCCAUUUGGCUUUUCUUAGGCUAUAUCCUUUAUAAUAAAACUGUAAUUGUAAGUGUGAUACUUUCCUGAGUUCUGUGCAUUGUUCUAGAGUAUUAUAAAACCCAAGGGGGUUGUGAAAACCCCAUAAUUUAUAGUAGGCAGAAGCACAAGUAGUCUAAAGGUCCCAGCAGCUCCAGAACUAUAAGCAAUAAAUGUUUGUCAUUUAAGCUACCCACUGUAUGAUAUUUUUGUUAUAGUAGCUCAAAUGAACUAAGAUACUUUCUCUAAUUAUUUGCUGAAACUUAAAAAAAAAAUUACAUUAGCCUGCAAUAAGGUAAUGGCUUAAAGUGAGAGAGAAUAGUCAGCUUUGAGUAAUGUGAAAAGAUAAAAUCCACAGGGCAUGCAGCUGGCUGUAUUUGAUAGAAGGU
rnacentral:lncRNA from 1 species